UUUCGGAAACGAAUAAAAUGUUUGCAAGGGCUUACAAAAGAGAUGCACAUCAACCUGUAGCGCUUUAAAUUAUUAAUGAUAAUUAUUCUAAUCAUAUCUAAAUUACAAAAUCUGAUCUGAUCUAUUGAUUUUUGGUAUAUUGCUCUAUGUAAAAUCAAACACCAUCCUGACGGUUCUCAGUACCAAAAAUUUACGCAAUAUGUGACGUCAGCGGAAACGAGACUCGAGUAAAAAGUGAAUGACAGAGCAUGACAAAAACAUCCCUACACGGAUAUGGAGUUGGUACUAUUUGGAUGGAGGUGUGAACAUGAUGACAUGCCUGUUGGCUGUAUAAAAGUCAAAAGAAGAGAAGAAAAGAUCCUUCCAUUUUUUUCAAGAGUGUGUUUCCGCC